rnacentral:rRNA from 1 species
GUCUUUUGUAAACCCCCAUAAAAGAUAAUGCCCGCCCAGAUGAACACUUAAACGGCCGCGUUAGCGUGAGCGUGCUAAGGUAGCGUAAUAAACAGCCCCUUAAUUAGGGGCCAGUGAAAGGCAACACGGAAGUUAACUUUCCCAUUUAUGUUAAAAAAACUUUCUAUCCAUGUAAAAAAGCAUGGAUCCUUGAGGAAGACGAAAAGACCCCGCGGAGCUUUACUUAUAAUACAUUUAGUCCAAUACAUACCACAAAUUGUAAAAAAGUUUGGUUGGGGCAACCAUGGAACAAAUAAAACUUCUACACCUUUUCACCUAAUACCCAUAUAAAAUUAGAUAUAGACCAUAAAGAAGUUACCCCGGGGAUAACAGCGUUAUCUAACUUGAGAGUACACAUCGAAAGUUAGGUUUGCGACCUCGAUGUUGGCUUAAGGAAAUCCAUUCAACAAUACAGCGCAGCAGCUAAAAACAGGACAGUCUGUUCGACUAAUAAACCCUU